rnacentral:rRNA from 1 species
GUCCACGCCCUAAACGAUGUCUACUAGUUGUCGGGUCUUAAUUGACUUGGUAACGCAGCUAACGCGUGAAGUAGACCGCCUGGGGGAGUACGGUCGCAAGAUUAAAAACUCAAAGGAAUUGACGGGGACCCGCACAAGCGGUGGAUGAUGUGGAUUAAUUCGAUGCAACGCGAAAAACCUUACCUACCCUUGACAUGGAUGGAAUCCCGGAGAGAUUUGGGAGUGCCCGAAAGGGAACCAUCACACAGGUGCUGCAUGGCUGUCGU